rnacentral:rRNA from 1 species
UACGUAGGGUGCAAGCGUUGUCCGGAAUUAUUGGGCGUAAAGAGCUCGUAGGCGGUUUGUCGCGUCGGCUGUGAAAACCUUGGGCUCAACCCCGGGCCUGCAGCCGAUACGGGCAAACUAGAAUUCGGUAGGGGAGACUGGAAUUCCUGGUGUAGCGGUGAAAUGCGCAGAUAUCAGGAGGAAUACCGAUGGCGAAGGCAGGUCUCUGGGCUGACACUGACGCUCAUGCACGAAAGCGUGGGGAGCAAACAGG